rnacentral:misc_RNA from 1 species
GUGAGGAGCAGAGAGUGUUAGCAA